UACGUAGGGUGCGAGCGUUGUCCGGAAUUAUUGGGCGUAAAGAGCUCGUAGGCGGUCUGUCGCGUCUGCUGUGAAAUCCCGAGGCUCAACCUCGGGCUUGCAGUGGGUACGGGCAGGCUAGAGUGCGGUAGGGGGAGAAUGGAAUUCCUGGUGUAGCGGUGGAAUGCGCAGAUAUCAGGAAGAACACCCGUGGCGAAGGCGGCUCUCUGGGACGGUACUGACGCUGAGACGCGAAAGCGUGGGGAGCAAACAGG
rnacentral:rRNA from 1 species